UAUCUCGAUUGCAUUAAAAUGAUAGACACAUGCUUCUUUUGCAUAGAUGGGUAUAGGAUAGUUUACAGUUAACAAUUAACAUGAUAACAAUAACAAUGAAGGAAUUUGUUGUCUUUACCCUGGUGCCUGGCACAUUGUUUGUGCCCUUCGGGGUCUGGAAAAAGGCAAGUUACAAGUUACCCUGACAUUCCAAAGGUAUGUAAUAUAAAUGCA